GCGGAUGUAACUCAAUGGUAGAGUGUCAGCUUCCCAAGCUGGAGGUUGCGGGUUCGACUCCCGUCAUCCGCUCCA
rnacentral:tRNA from 1 species